rnacentral:rRNA from 1 species
UACUGACACUAAGGUGCGAAAGCGUGGGGGAGCGAACAGGAUUAGAUACCCUGGUAGUCCACGCCGUAAACGAUGACAACCAGCUGUUGGGAAGCAAUGCUUUUCAGUGGCGCAGCUAACGUCUUAAGUUGUCCGCCUGGGGAGUACGGCCGCAAGGCUAAAACUCAAAUGAAUUGACGGGGACCCGCACAAGCGGUGGAGCAUGUGGUUUAAUUCGAUGCAACGCGAAAAACCUUACCUACACUUGACAUACUUGGUAUCUUCUGUAAUCGAAGAGUGCCUUUUGGAACCAAGAUACAGGUGCUGCAUGGCUGUCGUCAGCUCGUGUCGUGAGAUGUUGGGUUAAGUCCCAUAACGAGCGCAACCCUUACCCUUAUUUGCCAGCGAUUCGGUCGGGAACUAUAAGGGGACUGCCGGUGAUAAACCGGAGGAAGGUGAGGACGACGUCAAGUCAUCAUGGCCCUUACGUGUAGGGCUACACACGUGCUACAAUGGGGAGUACAGAUGGACGCUAAAGCGCGAGCUGGUGCUAAUCCCAAAAAACUCCUCGUAGUCCGGAUUGCAGUCUGCAACUCGACUGCAUGAAGUCGGAAUCGCUAGUAAUCGCGAAUCAGCAUGUCGCGGUGAAUACGUUCUCGGGUCUUGUACACACCGCCCGUCACACCAUGGGAGUGUAUUGCACCAGAAGUGGGUAGUCUAACCUUUCGGAGGACGCUCACCACGGUGUGAUCCAUGACUGGGGUGAAGUCGUAACAAGGUAACCGUA